rnacentral:misc_RNA from 1 species
GAAAUGCGAUAAGUAGUGUGAAUUGCAGAAUUCAGUGAAUCAUCGAAUCUUUGAACGCACAUUGCGCCCUUUGGUAUUCCUUAGGGCAUGCCUGUUCGAGCGUCAUCUAAACCUUCAAGCCCUGCUUGGUGUUGGGUGCCUGUCCCGCCUCCGCGCGCGGACUCACCUCAAAUCCAUUGGCGGCCCCCGCGUCGGCCACGAGCGCAGCAGAAACUCGAACUCGUGAGCCCGUCCGGGCGGCUCCCAGAAGCUACACCCACCCAGUUUGACCUCGGAUCAGGUAGGGAUACCCGCUGAACUUAAGC